ACGGAAGGCAGCAGUGAGGAAUAUUGGUCAAUGGGCGAGAGCCUGAACCAGCCAAGUCGCGUGAAGGAUGAAGGUUCUAUGGAUUGUAAGCUUCUUUUGUUCGAGGGUAAAGUGAGGGAUGCGUCCCUUAUUGCAAGUAUCGAACGAAUAAGCAUCGGCUAACUCCGUGCCAGCAGCCGCGGUAAUACGGAGGAUGCGAGCGUUAUCCGGAUUUAUUGGGUUUAAAGGGUGCGUAGGCGGGAUGUUAAGUCAGCGGUGAAAGCGUGUAGCUCAACUAUACCAAGCCGUUGAAACUGGCGUUCUUGAGUGUAAACGAGGUAGGCGGAAUGUGACGUGUAGCGGUGAAAUGCUUAGAUAUGUCACAGAACCCCGAUUGCGAAGGCAGCUUACCAGCAUACAACUGACGCUGAGGCACGAAAGUGCGGGGAUCAAACAGGAUUAGAUACCCUGGUA
rnacentral:rRNA from 1 species